GCGGGCGGUGGGUCCGGAUCUGCAGGCUGGACCUGUGGGCGGUGGGCCAUGGUUGGUUGGAUUGAGCAGGGCCGGUGGACGCCGAGCUGGAGGGGGUGGCAGUGAGCGGCGGCGGAGGCUGCGGAGUUCGACUUGGCUGAUUGAGGAAUCGGCCGGCGGCAGGAGUGUCCUUGCUGUUAUUUGUAGGACAGAUGGACAUCUGACCAGCCUUUCCACUUUGGCAUCCCUCCAGUUCGUUCAUUCAACAAGUAUUUAUUGAGUACAUCCAUGAUCCAGGAGCCAUGCGGGGCCAGUGGAGCCUGCUGCUGGGCCCUGCCCGCCUCUGCCUGCGCCUGCUUCUGCUCCUGGGCUACAGGCGCCGCCGCCCACCUCUGCUCCGCGGCCUGGUGCAGCGCUGGCGCUACGGCAAGGUCUGCCUGCGCUCCCUGCUCUACAACUCCUUCGGGGGCAGUGACACCGCCGUGGACGCUGCCUUUGAGCCCAUCUACUGGCUGGUGGACAACGUGAUCCGCUGGUGUGGGGUGGUGUUCGUGGUGCUGGUGAUUGUGCUGACCAGCUCCAUCGUGGCCAUCGCCUACCUGUGUGUCCUGCCCCUCAUCCUCCAAACCUACUCCGUGCCCCGGCUCUGCUGGCAUUUCUUCUAUAGUCACUGGAAUCUGAUUCUCAUCGUCUUCCAUUACUACCAGGCUAUCACCACCCCACCUGGAUACCCACCCCAGGGCAGGAAUGAUAUGACAACAGUCUCCAUCUGUAAGAAGUGCAUUAACCCCAAGCCAGCCCGAACGCACCACUGCAGCAUCUGCAAUAGGUGUGUGCUGAAGAUGGAUCAUCACUGCCCCUGGCUAAACAACUGUGUGGGCCACUAUAACCAUCGGUACUUCUUCUCUUUCUGCUUUUUCAUGACUCUGGGCUGUGUCUACUGCAGCUAUGGAAGCUGGGACCUUUUCCGGGAGGCUUAUGCUGCCAUCGAGAAAAUGAAACAGCUCGACAAGAACAAACUACAGGCGGUUGCCAACCAGACUUACCAUCAGACCCCACCACCCACCUUCUCCUUCCGAGAAAGAGUGACUCACAAGAGUCUUGUCUACCUCUGGUUCCUGUGCAGUUCUGUGGCACUGGCCCUGGGUGCCCUGACUGCAUGGCACGCCGUGCUCAUCAGUCGAGGUGAGACGAGCAUCGAAAGGCACAUCAACAGGAAGGAGCGUCAGCGGCUGCAGGCCAAGGGCAGAGUUUUUAGGAAUCAUUACAACUAUGGCUGCUUGGACAACUGGAAGGUAUUCCUGGGUGUGGACACAGGAAGGCACUGGCUUACUCGGGUGUUGUUACCUUCCAGUCACUUGCCCCAUGGGAACGGAAUAAGCUGGGAUCCCCCGCCCUGGGUGACUGCUCACUCAGCCUCUGUGAUGGCAGUGUGAGCGUGUAAGCUGGAGUGUGUCAGCCACAACUUGAACACCACCCUGCUUCCUGCGUUGCCUCAAGGGCCUCCAAGGAUAGCUUCUUGGGAUCCUUGAGCCAAAAGAGCCAGUGGGCCUGCCCCCAAGGUACCAUGCAGGGACAACUCAAGGACUGAUCUCCUGGCUGCUGCAGAAGCAAGGCACGACGUGGAGAAAUCCUAGGACUGAUGUCUCUUUACUCAGGCAAACAGAAGUUCCAGCCCCAGACUGGAGAUCAGGCAGCUAGCAACCUUGCCAGGUUGACCCCGACCUCCGCCAGGUUGACCCCGACCUCCUCCAGGUUACAGCACUGGGGUUGGCCACCACCUCUUCCACUUGCCGUCAACAGCUGAAUGGUAGAGAUGAGAUUCUGGCUUCUCAACAGGGCAAAGAUACCAGGCCUGCUGCUGAGGUCACUGCCACUUCUCAUGUGCUGCUGAAGGGAGCAAAAAUAAAGGUCAAGCAGUGAUGCUUCUGAGGCAUAAGUGGAAGAGGGGAAUAACUGACAGCCCCGUUACCAAAAAAAUCUUUAUUCUCCAGCAGGUACACACACACAUCCCACCCUCCC